rnacentral:tRNA from 1 species
GAGGCGUUCGCUCAGUUGAGAGAGCAUCUGGCUUUUAAUCAGAGGGUCGCUGGUUCGAACCCAGCACGGCUCA